ACAGUGAGUUACCACUGAGAGAGGGGAUGUCUCUUCACAUGAAGAUGUGCUUCCCUGGGAAAACAAGUUCCCCUUGCCAGAAUCCUGGGAGACUAUGAUCCUAAAGCAGGUAGAGAGAAGUGGAAAGACCAUGUGGCAAGAAGCCCUGUGCUCUCAACCUGGGCCCAUCACUGCCUCUGUCAUCCCAGGCAGAUCCAGUUACCUCUUGGCCUCGGUUUCCCCCCUUUGAAAAAUGAUGCUCUGCCUUUUGGAGGCAAUUCAAAGCAGACAACCUGAAAUGGAAACAAAGAAGCAAAAAUGACUGAAGGGCACAUCCUUUGCCUUUCCCACGUGGAACUGGUGACUCGGACCCGUGUCCCGUAAGCCUCCAAGCUGAAUGAGAGAGAGAAGACCCAAGAGAGGACUCGCUGGAGGAGACAUGGAGGCCUGGAGCUGCGGGGCUGCCUCGUGUCCCCUGGGUUUUCUUAGAGACAAGGAGGGGGACACACCCCCAGUGCUGAGGAAGUGCUCCUCUGAUGUUUCAAUGCUGUGACUUUGAUUCCUUUGCAGUUGAGUGUAAGCUGUGAGAUUAGGUACCAAAGCCAAAGGAAAUGGAAGAAGUAGAGAUUUAGCCAACAGGUAGUAAAGAUUAAAUUUUUGUCCUAGGUGCAAAGUGAUGUGGGAGGCAGACUUGUUGUUGCAUGAAUUAUUGUUCAGCUCUUUGGACAGCUCUGUCCCGCAGUUUUCUGUCAGGAUGGAGAUGCUGUAUAUCUGUGCUAUUCAAUAUGGUGACUGGUGGUCCCCUGUGGCUCUUGAGUCCCCAAAAUGUGUUAAUGACACUGAGGAAUCAAAGUUUUAAUUUUAUUUAAUUUUAAUGAAUUUAAAUUUAAGCCACAUGGGUUCAGGUACUACCCUACUGGGUAAUAUUUUAGUAAAUAACUUAGUACUUCUAUAGUUGGACUUGGAACGUACACGUGCUUUUUUCUUAAUAGUGAACUUUGCUACUUGGUUUCUUCUUUUACACAGCUGCAUUUCUUUUUUUAAGUUGAAAUAUAACUGACCUGUAACACUGUUAGCAUAGUGAUUCAAUAUCUGUACACUACAAAAUGAUCACCAUGAUAAACAG
ensembl:lncRNA